rnacentral:rRNA from 1 species
GUAGUCCACGCCCUAAACGAUGUCGACUAGUUGUCGGGCCUUCAGUGGCUUGGUAACGCAGCUAACGCGUGAAGUCGACCGCCUGGGGAGUACGGUCGCAAGAUUAAAACUCAAAGGAAUUGACGGGGACCCGCACAAGCGGUGGAUGAUGUGGAUUAAUUCGAUGCAACGCGAAAAACCUUACCUACCCUUGACAUGUGCCGAACCCGGCUGAAAGGCUGGGGUGCUCGAAAGAGAGCGGCAACACAGGUGCUGCAUGGCUGUCGUCAGCUCGUGUCGUGAGAUGUUGGGUUAAGUCCCGCAACGAGCGCAACCCUUGUCCUUAGUUGCUACGCAAGGGCACUCUAAGGAGACUGCCGGUGACAAACCGGA